CCCAGUAUAUCCCAGUAUAACCCAGUAUAUCCCAGUAUAAACCAGUAUAACCCAGUAUAUCCCAGUAUAACCCAGUAUAACCUAGUAUAACCCAGUAUAUCCCAUUAUAUCCCAUUAUAUCCCAUUAUAUCCCACCAGCCAAUGAGAUCGCGAGAAAGCAUUUGAUUGACAUUUAAAGACAGGCCUCCUAAUCCCUCCCCCCCUGCGGUUUGUAACCAAUGAAAUCGCGAGAAAGCAUUUGAUUGACAUUUAAAGACGGGCCUCCUAAUCCCGCCCCCCCUGCGAUUUAUAACCAAUGAAAAGCGAGAUCUGCUUAAUCCCACCCCCUUAACGCAUUAUUAACCAAUGAGAAGCAUCCACAUGGACAUUGAUCCCACCCCUUUUUCUCCUCGACCAAUCAGAAGAGGCGGCCUCAAGCGAGCGGCUCUCAAGUCUGUUUCCGCCUCUCAUUCCACUUCCGGCGCUCGAACAGCGCGGAGCUCCGUGUGGAGAACCGGAAAGUGACGGAGCGGAAUGGAGGCGGAACGCAGCUCGCUUUGCUUCGCGGAAACGGAAGCUUGAAGAGGCGCUUCCUGUUUCCGGUGCUAGGACCGGAAGUGGAGGGGUUAGUCCGAUCCAAGAUGGCGGCGGCGGUGGAGGAGGAAGAGAACAACGAGGCGGCGGGGGAUGAAGGAGGAGACGAGGCCGCCAUUAAAGAGAUGGAGGUGGGGGCGGGGCUAAAGGGAAAUGGGGCGGAGCUUGAGGGGGAGUGGGCGGGGCUUCGGGACGCGAUUUGAUUGGUCGAAGGAGGGGAAAGGGGCGGGGCUUAGAACCCGGAAGUGGGACCCAUGGAGACCCAUAGAGACCCAUAGAGACCCAUAGAGACACAUAGGGAUCCAUUGAGACCCAUAGGGACACAUAGAGACCCAUAGGGACCCAUAGGGAACCAUAGAGACCCAUAGAGACACAUAGAGACCCAUAGGGACCCAUAGGGACCCCAUAGAGACCCAAUAGAGACCCAUAGGGACCUGUAGAGACCCAUAGAGACCCCAUAGGGACCCAUAGGGACCCAUAGGGACCCAUAGAGACCCAUAGGGACCCAUAGNNNNNNNNNNNNNNNNNNNNGACCCAUAGGGACCCAUAGAGACCCAUAGAGACCCAUAGGGACCCAUAGAGACCCCAUAGAGACCCAUAGAGACCCAUAGGGACCCAUUGAAACCCAUAGAGACCCCAUAGAGACCCAUAGGGACACAUAGGGACCCAUAAAGUCCCAUAGGGACCCAUAGAGACUCAUAGAGACCCAUAGAGACCCAUAGGGACCCAUAAGGACCCAUAGAGACCCAAUAGAGACCCGUAGAGACCCAUAGGGACCCAUAGGGACCCAUGGAGACCCAUAGGGACCCAUUGAAACCCAUAGAGACCCCAUAGAGACCCCAUAGGGACCCAUGGAGACCCAUGGAGACCCAUAAAGACACAUAGGGACCCAUAAGGACCCAUAGGGACCCAUAGAGACCCAUAGGGACCCAUAGGGACCCAUAGAGACCCAUAGGGACCCAUAGGGACCCAUAGACACCCAUUGACCCCAUAGGAACCAAUGGGGACCCAUAGGGGGCGUGGCCUCGAAGGGGGCGUGGCUUGGAGAAGGGGGCGUGGCUUGAGCGAGGU
rnacentral:lncRNA from 1 species